GGUCUCGCUCCCUGCUCUCCCCCCGUGGUCGGCCAUUGCUGGCUGGCUCCACGUGGUCUGAACCAAACCUCCCCCCCCAUCCUAUAAUAAAGAUCUGUGUACCCCUUUGCUCUGGACGUCCGCUCUCUUCUCCGCGGUGCAGCCCGACACCAGACCACCUCAACAACAACCACCAGGUUCCAGAUGCUACCAUGAUGCCAAGCAGACUUCUGUGGAGAGAUGACCCCACCAGUGUGUCCUGGAGCUUCCUCAGAGCCCUGCCCCACUAGGGAAAUAGAGAGAUAGGCUAAGAGUAUAGGUCGACCUGUCAAUGCCCAUGUUCAGUGGGGAAAUAAUUACAGAAGCCAGACCUUUCACCUUCUGCACCCCAUGUGACCCUGGGUCCAUACUUCCAGAGGGUUAAAAAAUGGGAAAGUUAUCAAGGGAGGGGAUGAGAUAAGGAGUUCUGGUGGUGGGAAUUAUACCCUUCUUAUCCUAUGGUCUUGUCAGUGUUUCCAUUUUAUAAAUAAAUUAAAAAAUUAAAAAUAAGUUGAAAAACAAGAUCGAAGGGAAACAACUAAGCAGAACUUGGACUGGAGUUGGUGUCUUGCACCAAAAUAAAAGACUGUGGGGUUGGGGGGAGGGUUCAGGUCCUGGAACUCGAUGGUAGAGGAGGAUCUAGUUGGGGUUGAAUUGUUACUUUGAAAGCUAGGGAAUGUUAUGCAUGUAUAAACUAUUGUAUUUUACUUUUGACUAUAAACUUUUAAUCCCUCAAUAAAGAAAUUUUUAAAAAGAAAAAACUUUUUUCCCCCAAAAUAUGAUAGCUGGAUUCUCUCACCAAGUAUGUCAUUCUAUGAACAGAAUUACAUUAUUUUAGUAAUUUGCUAUCUAGAUGUGUGCAAAAGAAAAGAUAAUUUCUAAUAGUUUACACCAACAAAUAUCUAGUCCUUAAGAUUCAAGAUUUAUUAAAAUUAAAAGACAAUAAAAAGCCUCAAGAAUUUGAAGAAUCAAAUGUAACAAAAUGUCAAAAAUGUUUAUGUUGAAUCUUUCAGCAUGGUAUGUGUCAUGCUUUUAGUGCAAAUGGUAUUUUUAAGUGCUAUAUUAUAUCAGAUGUUAUAAAUAUACUAUCCCAUAUAGACAAGCUUGUAUUUCUAUAACCUUAUAAGAGAGUUAAAUCAUUUUCAAUUUUUAAUAAAUAGUACUAGAAUUUAUACCAACAUAACAUCUUGGCAUGCACUUGUGGGAUCACAUUAUGUCUUCACAUUAAAGUUUUUUUGUUUUUUUUUCUCAAAAGAAAAAGCCCAAAGUGAACUAGGGAUAGUAUACUGGUAUAUUGCUCUGUAGUAAAAAAAGCUCUGGGGAGGAGAGAGAUUGGGAACCAGAAGGCAAGGCAGUAUUGGAGAUUUUUAUUGGAAAAUAACAUUAGAUUUGCUUUACUGUUCAAUGGUAGGAUCUGACAAUGCAUACUGACUUCACUUUGUCAUUUGGGCUUUCUCCUUGUCAUCGUGCAUUUUGGCUAGAGAAGUCAUUGGACCAUACAUCCUAGAGAAGUCAUUGGACCAUACAUCCUAGAUUAUUCAAUGAUAAGUGGGUUCUGGCACUGUAUUCCACAGAGAAAUAGAUUAAUAUGUUUUCAGUGAUUCAUAAAAUACUUACACUAAAUAGAGAAAUUAAGAUCUAAAAAUAUCCUCACAGAAUUUAGAUUUAUUUUUUGCCUUUAGAGUUUUAUUUUAUUUUUUAGUAUUUUUGAAAAAUUUCUACUUAUCUUUAUUUAUUGGAUAGAGAUAGCCAGAAAUCAAGAGAGGGAGAGAGACAGAAAGACACCUGCAGCACUGCUUCACCACUUACAAAGCUUUCCUCCUGCAGGUGGGGACCAGGAGCUCGAACCCAAUGCAUUGUUCCUUAUGCAUUUAACAUGUGUGUUCAAAGUACACAGUAAUAUGUAAUGAGUACUCCUCAACACUUCAUCUGCAUUAUUCCAGCCUUUAAGUCCAUGACUGGUCAAUAGUAUGUUUGGCUUUGUAUGUUAACUCUCUUUUUCAGCCACCAGGUUCCAGAUGGCAGCAUGAUGCCAACCAGACUUCCCUGGACAGAGGACCUCACCAAUAUGUCCUGGAGCUCCACUUCCCCAAAGCCCCACCCUACUAGGGAAAGAGAGAAGCAGACUGGGAGUAUGGAUCGACCAGUCAACGCCCAUAUUCAGCGGGGAAGCAAUUACAGAAGCCAGACCUUCCACCUUCUCCAUCCCACAAUGACCCUAGGUCCAUACUCCCAGAGGGAUAGAGAAUAGGAAAGCUAUCAGGGGAGGGGAUGUGAUAUGGAGUUCUGGUGGAUAUGGGAAUUGUGUGGAGUUAUACCCCUCUUGUCCUAUGGUUUUGUUAAUGUCUCCAUUUUAAAAUAAAUAAAUAAAUAAAA